AGUGAACGCUGGCGGUAGGCCUAACACAUGCAAGUCGAACGGCAGCACAGUAAGAGCUUGCUCUUACGGGUGGCGAGUGGCGGACGGGUGAGGAAUACAUCGGAAUCUACUUUUUCGUGGGGGAUAACGUAGUGAAACUUACGCUAAUACCGCAUACGACCUACGGGUGAAAGCAGGGGAUCUUCGGACCUUGCGCGAUUGAAUGAGCCGAUGUCGGAUUAGCUAGUUGGCGGGGUAAAGGCCCGCCAAGGCGACGAUCCGUAGCUGGUCUGAGAGGAUGAUCAGCCACACUGGAACUGAGACACGGUCCAGACUCCUACGGGAGGCAGCAGUGGGGAAUAUUGGACAAUGGGCGCAAGCCUGAUCCAGCCAUACCGCGUGGGUGAAGAAGGCCUUCGGGUUGUAAAGCCCUUUUGUUGGGAAAGAAAAGCAGCAGGUUAAUACCCCGCUGUUCUGACGGUACCCAAAGAAUAAGCACCGGCUAACUUCGUG
rnacentral:rRNA from 1 species